AAAUUGAAGAGUUUGAUCAUGGCUCAGAUUGAACGCUGGCGGCAGGCCUAACACAUGCAAGUCGAACGGUAGCACAGAGAGCUUGCUCUCGGGUGACGAGUGGCGGACGGGUGAGUAAUGUCUGGGAAACUGCCCGAUGGAGGGGGAUAACUACUGGAAACGGUAGCUAAUACCGCAUAACGUCGCAAGACCAAAGUGGGGGACCUUCGGGCCUCACACCAUCGGAUGUGCCCAGAUGGGAUUAGCUAGUAGGUGGGGUAACGGCUCACCUAGGCGACGAUCCCUAGCUGGUCUGAGAGGAUGACCAGCCACACUGGAACUGAGACACGGUCCAGACUCCUACGGGAGGCAGCAGUGGGGAAUAUUGCACAAUGGGCGCAAGCCUGAUGCAGCCAUGCCGCGUGUAUGAAGAAGGCCUUCGGGUUGUAAAGUACUUUCAGCGAGGAGGAAGGCGUUGUGGUUAAUAACCACAGCGAUUGACGUUACUCGCAGAAGAAGCACCGGCUAACUCCGUGCCAGCAGCCGCGGUAAUACGGAGGGUGCAAGCGUUAAUCGGAAUUACUGGGCGUAAAGCGCACGCAGGCGGUUUGUUAAGUCAGAUGUGAAAUCCCCGGGCUCAACCUGGGAACUGCAUUUGAAACUGGCAAGCUUGAGUCUCGUAGAGGGGGGUAGAAUUCCAGGUGUAGCGGUGAAAUGCGUAGAGAUCUGGAGGAAUACCGGUGGCGAAGGCGGCCCCCUGGACAAAGACUGACGCUCAGGUGCGAAAGCGUGGGGAGCAAACAGGAUUAGAUACCCUGGUAGUCCACGCCGUAAACGAUGUCUACUUGGAGGUUGUGCCCUUGAGGCGUGGCUUCCGGAGCUAACGCGUUAAGUAGACCGCCUGGGGAGUACGGCCGCAAGGUUAAAACUCAAAUGAAUUGACGGGGGCCCGCACAAGCGGUGGAGCAUGUGGUUUAAUUCGAUGCAACGCGAAGAACCUUACCUGGUCUUGACAUCCACGGAAGUUUUCAGAGAUGAGAAUGUGCCUUCGGGAACCGUGAGACAGGUGCUGCAUGGCUGUCGUCAGCUCGUGUUGUGAAAUGUUGGGUU
rnacentral:rRNA from 2 species